rnacentral:tRNA from 1 species
AGUAUUAUAGUUUAAUAAAAAUAUUAAAUUGCAAAUUUAAAGAUAGAAAAUUUCUUAAUACUU